rnacentral:lncRNA from 1 species
AUCUUCGGGCCACUGGCCAUUUUCCCCUAAGCAGGAGUUCCCAGUUAGGCUGAAGAUUCUUGGUGAUUAUUCUCCUGCUGAUGUUUCUUAGAGAAGGCACAGCCUUGUUCUGUAGAGGGAGGGUGGUGACAGGGCCACAGAGCUCCACAGAUGAUCCCCUCCUGACAAUUCAUGGGUGAUUUCCUGAGACAGAAUUGCAGACAUGGCACUGCCAGUUUCAGUAGUGGAAGACGUAACUUUGAUCAUGGAUUCUAUUAUGGGAGGAAUUCAGACAAGAAAAUAAACAACCAUGUUCAACCAACUGCUCUCGUCUUUGAAACAACUGUCUUGUCCAUUUGGUGUGUCUCACUAAAGACCCUGUCACUGGGGACCAGACACAUCAUCUUCUCUACGGAAUCAAGACCAACAAUCUGGAGAAAACCUUUCUUGUUCAUGUCUAAUAUCACAUUUCUCUCUUCAUAAACAUACCCUCCUUCCCAUUUCAUCUCUCCCAGUCACCAUUCAUGGUCUGUAUGGUGUUACUGAAUUUCUGAGGAUUUAAGUAAAUUGAUUUGGUGUGUACACAAUAUAUGUGUGUCUCUGCAGAAAGUUGUUUAAUUUUAAAAACACACGAAUAUUU